AUUGAACGCUGGCGGCAGGCCUAACACAUGCAAGUCGAACGGUAACAGGAAGAAGCUUGCUUCUUUGCUGACGAGUGGCGGACGGGUGAGUAAUGUCUGGGAAACUGCCUGAUGGAGGGGGAUAACUACUGGAAACGGUAGCUAAUACCGCAUAACGUCGCAAGACCAAAGAGGGGGACAUUCUGGCCUCUUGCCCUCGGAUGUGCCCAGAUGGGAUUAGCUAGUAGGUGGGGUAACGGCUCACCCAGGCGACGAUCCGUAGCUGGUCUGAGAGGAUGACCAGCCACACUGGAACUGAGACACGGUCCAGACUCCUACGGGAGGCAGCAGUGGGGAAUAUUGCACAAUGGGCGCAAGCCUGAUGCAGCCAUGCCGCGUGGAUGAAGAAGGCCUUCGGGUUGUAAAGUACUUUCAGCGGGGAGGAAGGGAGUAAAGUUAAUACCUUUGCUCAUUGACGUUACCCGCAGAAGAAGCACCGGCUAACUCCGUG
rnacentral:rRNA from 1 species